rnacentral:tRNA from 1 species
GGGCGCAUGGUGUAGUUGGUUAUCACAUCCGCUUAGCAAGCCUCGGCCUGCAAGCUGCGGGGGGUGCUGGGUUCAAUUCCCAGUGCGUCCA